rnacentral:rRNA from 1 species
GACGAACGCUGGCGGUGUGCUUCACACAUGCAAGUCGAACGAGGUAGCAAUACCUAGUGGCGGACGGGUGAGUAAACGCGUGGGAAUCUGCCUUUAGAUGGGGAUAACGGGUCGAAAGACUCGCUAAUACCGCAUAUGACGAAAGUUGAAAGGAUAAUCCGUCUAAAGAUGAGCCCGCGUCCGAUUAGCUAGUUGGUAGAGUAAAAGCCUACCAAGGCGACGAUCGGUAGCUGGUCUGAGAGGAUGAUCAGCCACAAUGGGAACUAGAGACACGGCCCAUACUCCUACGGAGGCAGCAGUGGGAUUUACGCAAUGGCGAAAGCCUGACGUAGCGACACCGCGUGAGCG